AGUGAGAGUAUUUGAGUUCUUUUCCUGUCCAUACUUCUUUUGGCAACUUGAACUCCAAGGGUACUGACAGCCUUCUAUUGAUCAAAUAGACUUGCAUUAUUUAC